rnacentral:rRNA from 1 species
CCUACGGGCGGCAGCAGUGGGGAAUAUUGCACAAUGGGGGAAACCCUGAUGCAGCGACGCCGCGUGCGUGAAGAAGUAUUUCGGUACGUAAAGCUCUAUUAGCAGGGAAGAAAAUGACGGUACCUGACUAAGACGCCCCGGCUAACUACGUGCCAGCAGCCGCGGUAAUACGUAGGGGGCAAGCGUUAUCCGGAUUUACUGGGGGUAAAGGGAGCGUAGACGGCAGCGCAAGUCUGUAGUGAAAUCCCAUGGCUUAACCAUGGAACUGCUUUGGAAACUGUGCAGCUAGAGUGCAGGAGAGGUAAGCGGAAUUCCUGGUGUAGCGGUGAAAUGCGUAGAGAUUAGGAGGAACACCGGUGGCGAAGGCAGCUUACUGGACUGUAACUGACGUUGAGGCUCGAAAGCGUGGGGAGCAAACAGGAUUAGAUACCCCGGUAGUC